CAGAAUUUCCAUGAGGUUCUGCAGUUAAAAGCAUACUUUUUUAUAAGAUUAUUCCUUUAAGUAAUACAAAAGAAGGGCAAGAUACUAGCCUGAUUAUAUGAAUAGCAGGGUGAAAAAAAGAUUAAUUUCCAUAACAAAGGGACCAAGGCUCCAUUCUCCCUUUUCGGUCUUUUUUUUUUUUAACACAGGAAGCUAAUAGGCAUUUCAUCACAGUGAAGUAAUAACUCAAUUUCACCUUAGUCACAGUCACUGUACAUACUUCCUUCCGACUGAUCUGAACAGAUGAUAAACUUCACCCACAGAUUUAAAAAAGGGAGUCAGACAUAGUAUAUAAGUGCACAAGUAUCUCUGACUGAUGUUAAUUACAAUAAACUGUUGUAAUUGGCAUCAGUCAGAUGUCAUUUACAGAUGACAUCAAAAAGUUAACGGCCCAUCCCAUUAUCUGUAUAGACUUAGCUUAUGAAUUUUUCAUGUGCAUCACACUCCCUCCAGUAAUAAAUGGCUCUCAUUCAACACUUUGCUAUUCAAGGGGUUUAAUAGUAAUCAAGGUUCUCAAAGAAAAUCCAACUCUAGACGUGAGGAGUAGUGUUCAGUUUGAAAAGUGAAAUUGUCCCUCCAAGCCGCCAUCCUCACUGGCAAAAGUACAGUUCUGUCACCUGGCAGAGAAGACCUUAAUCCAGAUGAGCUGUAGUUAUGACACAGACAGAAUCAAUUAGAACUAGGGCUUCCCUGGCGGCUCAGCCGGUAAAGAAUCUGCCUGCAAUGCGGGAGACCUGGGUUCGAUCCCUGGCUUGGGAAGAUCUCCUGGAGAAGGGAAAGGCUACACGCUCCAAUAGUCCAUGGGGUUGUAAAGAGUUGGACACGACUGAGCGACUCUCACUUUGACUUUCUCUUCUUUCUUAUGCUCCAUUACCUAACUUAAUGAACCCCUACUUUGUUUGAGCUUUUAUUAUACACAAGAUUCAAAAAGCCCGAGGUUCAGGAUGCUCAUUAUAUAUUUGAAGAGAUUAAAAUGUAAACACUGAAAUAAUGUUUCAUAAAUUAGAUUCUUUUAAAAACAUGCCAGAGUGUGUACACUUUGCCAAGAGCAUAACAGAGACAGUGAGAAUUUAGAGUGUGAUAUCUUUUAGAUAAAGUUUGGGAAGUUUCAGAGAAAUAUUUGAGGUUGGCUUUCAACAUACCACAUAAAUGAGGACUUCCCUGGUGGUCCAGCAGUUAAGACUCUGCGCUUCCACUGCAGGGGGCCUGGAUCCUGGCCUGGGAACUAAGAUCCCACAUGCUGCAUGGUGCAGCCAAAAAAACCCAAAGAAACCCCAAGAUACUACAUAAAUCGACUAGAUGGUAAGAUUAAACUAUUUUAGGCCAGUAUGUUUAUUAGUUCCCUUCAUAACCAAUCUAAACCUCCCAAAGGCAAACAUUUCAAAAUCUUUCCUAUUUUAUCACAAUUCCUCCUUCUACCUUCCUCACCAAUCCCACAUUCUAAUUAAACUUAUUGUUUGUUGAAAAAUAUUACUUCAAAAUUUAUUCAACUAUUAAAAUUAUUCUCAGGCAUUUAGUGAAAUUAGCGAAAUUUAGUGAAAAAUAACAAUUACACACAUUUGUAGAGUUUCAUCAGUAAGAAAAGUAUCAAGCUGUAUCUACAUAAGUGCUAAUUUCUCUUUUAAUUCUUACAUUGCUCAAUGAAAGAACACAUGAUAACCUGAGUAGGUUUUGGAUCCUUGUGACCACAUGAAAAAAAUCCACUAUAUACAACAAUCCACUUAGAUAACUAAUUGUCCAACAGAUCAGUGUAGCGAAAGUUUGCUUCUCCUUCCUUGCAGCAGUUUGUAUGGGUAGGCCACUUGAUUGGGCUUUCAGAAAAUAGUCCCUGAGGUAAGAAUCAAGGUAUGAAGGAACCAUGUAGUCAUUAUUUGUCUGAAGUGACUAAGGAUAAUUUGCCUCUGAUACAGAACACCUUGUGUGCAGCAUAAAAGAACGGGGAAUAUUAAAAGUCCAACACAUCACAAAGUUAAUUUGUUAUUCUAUGGUUCAAAUUCUAUUUCUAACAUGACAUAUAUCUAUAAAACUCCCUGAGUAUAAGAUUUUAAUAAUUCUCUUCCUAAUCACCUAGAAGUUUCCCCAAGUAUUCAUGAUUUACAGCCACCCAAAUAAAAAAUGGUUAACUUUUAAAGUAUCAGGGUCAAUAAGUAUAAGUCACUUGAGAAUAAAAACCCAAGUAUCAAUCCAUGCCAGCAGCCUUAUUUUACAGAUGGGAAAAGAAAGCUUAUGAAGGGUGAAAUAAACUGCUCAACAGGAACCUCUGGCAGGUCAGGAUUAGAACCCAGCUCUCCUAAUAAACAGUUGUGGGUUCUUUUGAUUGACAAUAUAUUGCCAGAUCAUUUGUCUUAUUAUGCUGGUGUACAUUUAAUCUGAAAAAAAUAGAAAAUCCACUUCUUAACAGAUGCCUGCAUCUCCUCCUUUGAAUUGUGAAAAAUGUCUGUCAUGCCUAAAGUUAAAUGGAAUCUUCUUCCCCAGUGACUUAAUUCAUCUAACAAUUUCAGCUGUAAUUUGAAUAUUUUUUCCCCUAGCAUCACUUCUGGAUUUCCUUUAUCUUUUUCUUAUCCACCCACAGCAACUGACCCAGAUCUGCCAGAAAAUUGAACAUGUACAAAAGGAGGCACCUAAAACCACAUACUCAACGCCAAUUUGGAAAACACGAAUUAUUCUGUAAACUAAGAUACUACUGAAGACCUUUCCAAGUGCAUGGGCACCUAGCAGAGGCGUAAGGGAACAGGAGCCGCCCCGCAUCACGUGAUGUAAAAAGAUUUAAGGGUCUUCACAGCUCCUCAUUUUUGUCACAGGAGCUUCUAACAAUGGAUUCCAAUUUUCAUUUUGAACCCGUCAACUGUCAGCCCGUUUUAAACGGCUGUCAAGUCCCCUCCCCAGGAGAUUCUGAUUCAGAUGGUCUGGGGCAGGUCCCAAGAAAUCUAUAUUUUAAGACCCGUUCAAGAGAUUCUGGUGCACAGGGAAUCAAGAGAACCACUGGUGUACAAAACUCAAAUACGUUUGUCAUGCUGGGGCCUGGUACCACUUAUACAUCACACUUUUCAUCCCAGGCACUCUGGAAGCAUAGAUUCCAUCCAUAAGGAUUACCCAGAAGAGGAGAAUAAUUGAUUCCCGCCCCGGUAAAAUAGGCGAAUAAACCUGCCGAAUCAUUUCGACUGCUCCCAAUUCUAAUCCUGUGCUAUGUUUUGUAAUCUCUAACUUGGCAGGUUUACUUUUGAGGGAGAAAUGUAAAUUCUGUCAGAGGCGCUUGAUACCGGCCCUGGUCCUUCUUACCUUCCUGAGGCGGAAGAGAGUCGCCAAAGGUGGAAGAGAAUACCGGCCCGGGGAGAACAGGAAGCCGAUGGCGGGAAGCCAGUGACACAUGGACAGAUAACUGAAUGACAAGGGGCCAGCGCUCUAAAGAACUGUGGCAGAGAUGAGACGUGUCUUCACUCUCAGUAAUGUGCUAAUUUGCCCGAUUCCUGUCUACAGUGAUGUCGAGAAGAUUAUUUACACAGGAAAGCACUUAAGCAACUCAAAUAAGGUAAUUUGACUAGAUUACACAAAGAAAGACUUGACCACUGGAAGCAAAAAGCUUUCUGUUUACCACAGGUAAACAGCUCUUUCCACUAGAAAGGAUAAAUGUGAUUUUCUACCCGGGCUCCCCAGCUGGCUCCUACUUGGUAUGAUGGAGAGUCCUGUCGUUGUGCAUGAACGUUGGGUUGCAAGCACCCUGGCAGCAGAACCUCCAUUAUGUUUCCACCCACAGCACUUGGUGGUACCCUGCACAUGGAAAAUGUUGGUUGAAUGACUCAAGGCUAUUUCUCUGCCGAGGUGAGUACCAGAGUUCAGUAACUCUGGCUGCAUUUCUGCUGCUGGACUGCGGUAGCUGGAUAGGGGCUGUGGGCUCCUGUGGCUUCUUAUUCUCUUGAUCACCACCCCAUAGACAGUCUCCCUUUCAGAACCCUCCUGUCCUCUCCCCAGCUGCCUUGGGUACCCAUUGGCUCUCUGCUUUCCCCAACUGUCUCUCCCAACGGUGACUGAGGGCUAAUUUUGCAAUCUGAUAUUUCUCUGAGAAUGAGGUGCCUCUUCUGGAACACACUGCCAUACUCAGUGACACUGCAAAUAGGUUUUUAUUAACUGAUCUCCACUCUACGAACCAUUUUGCCAUCACACUGAUUGUGAGGCACCAUCUGUUUGCCUUGAUGACUUAAUGAAUUGAGGGCUCAUGAAUGUAGCUGACAUCUAAAUUAGAUCCGUAUCUCAAUACAGACAGGAUAGUGGUUUCCUUUGCCAGAGAUGAUGGACAAUUAUUUUAUAAUUCUGAGAGAAAAAUGGAUUAUGCAGACAGACACUUCACCCAAAUUGGUGGCCUCAUUACUCUCCCUAUGGUGAUGCUUUUGUUCAGGGGCAGGGACAUGCCUGCCCUGUUUCAGGAAAAACCAGAAAAGAAAAAUUGUCUGCCUGACUCGUUUACUCAUGAAUCAGCAGAUAAGUGCUAGCCGUCAAACUCCUCCUGCUGUUUUGUUUUAUGAGAGUCAGAAGGGUUUUCUGAGAGUGAUGAGUAUUAAAAUAAUUAGAUAAAAUGAGCUGAUAACCUUGGUCUGUUGCCUAGUAUGGUAUGGCUGAUUAGAGGGAAAUUGCAAGCUGCGAGAUGGCUAAGUACUGUGUCCUGUGCAGAUUGUGAUUGCUUGUGAAAUUAGGUAAGCUGUUGCUUAAGGGGAGUUCACCAACAGUUUUAAAAGACCUAUGACCACUUCUGGCUGAUUUGCUCUUUCAUAUAGCUGGGAUCUGGAAUCCUUGUGAUCUCUGAGCUAUUGCUUGCCUCGGACUGGUAAGGGGACGAGGUGGGAGCUGGUGAGACAAAGGGCAAUAGGGAAUGAUAGUUAAUGGGUAUCGCCCAGCUUGGGCAUGAUAAAAAUGGAAUUGAUUCUGGAAUUAAAGAUGAUGAUUAUACAUCUUAGUGAAUAUAUUAAAAACCACUGAAUUGUACACCUUAAAAUGGAGAAUUUUAUGGUAUGUAAUUUACCAUACCAUCUAUUUGUCUUGGUGACUUAAUGAAUUGAGGGCUCAUACAUGUGAGAGAGUGUCCCUGGCCUCCCUCUUACCUGUAAGUGUCUUACAUUAGAAGUAAGCAGCACCAGGGACUUCCCUGGUG